UACGGAAGAUGCGAGCGUUAUCCGGAUUUAUUGGGUUUAAAGGGUGCGUAGGCGGGAUGCCAAGUCAGCGGUAAAAAUGCGGUGCUCAACGCCGUCGAGCCGUUGAAACUGGCGUUCUUGAGUGGGCGAGAAGUAUGCGGAAUGCGUGGUGUAGCGGUGAAAUGCAUAGAUAUCACGCAGAACUCCGAUUGCGAAGGCAGCAUACCGGCGCCCUACUGACGCUGAGGCACGAAAGCGUGGGUAUCGAACAGG
rnacentral:rRNA from 1 species